rnacentral:lncRNA from 1 species
AAAAUCCUCUGUGUUCAGGGCUGGCCCGGUGGCGCAGCAGUUAAGCUGGCACGUUCUGCUUCUCGGCGGCCUGGGGUUUGCCGGCCUGGAUCCCGGGUGCAGACAUGGCACCACUUGGCAAAAGCCAUGCUGUGAAAUUAUUCACUGAAAUAGAGCCAAGGAGAGGAGGAUGAAGACACAGAGGUAAGAGCUGGGUCACUCAGCCAGCCCUGGCUUCGAGGGGAGUAUGAGAAGAUUGGAAGAAUGAAUAAAUACUCAUGAUGAAGUCUUAACAGAAUGGGGACUGCUAAAUUAGAUGGUUUAACUGAGAGCAAGGCACCAAGCCUCAUUCUUUACUUCUGUACAUUUGAGGAAUGGUCCAUCUAACAGCCCCUGUCUUCUACCUGCUGCAGUGCCAUGAACGGCCUGGAGACCACUACCAGAGAUGCUGAAAUGGCCCAUGUCCUCGUUAUGGAUAAGCCAAUAUACAACUGCAUAGAAAAAAGCUUCAUGGCUCCUGUUCUACAUGAGGUGCCACAGGAAAGGCUUUCUCAAGAAACAAUACUAGUUGGAUGGAACACUCACCUGGCAUGGAGUCAUCCCCAUUUUCUGCAUGGCGGUGGAGCGUGGGAACUGCAUCUAUUCAACGUGUCUCUUACACGCUGCCUCAGCAUGCUCUAGGAUCUCUAACUGAAUUUGUCAACAAGAGAGAGUAAAAACUGGAAGAAGACUAUGCUUUUAAAUGCUAAAGACAUUUUCCGCAAUUUUCUCACCAGAACUUUUGAACCUUCCCUAGAAUGUUCUGGAGCUGCAUUCUUAGACCUCCCCAUUGCCUCCACUUUCAUUUCACCCCAAGAGCUGUUAGUUAAUAAAAACGGACCUCUAGAGCAGAUCUUCUCAGACUUUAUAUGCAUAAAAAUACGUAUACAAAUGCCUUGGGGAUCUUGAAAAAAUGUAAUUUCUGAUUCAACAGGUCUAGGGUAGGACCUGAAGUUGUAUAUUUUGAAUAAGCACUGGGUAAUGCAGAUGCUGCUGGCCCAUGGACCACCCUUUGAAUAGCAUAACUCUAGAUCUGCUUUCAAGGAAAUAAAAUGGAAUUAACAUUUGUAAGUCACAACUUGAGUUAAAAAGCUCCAGGUAAUUUAAAGAUAUUGUUUUACCCAAUUUUCUUAAGAACCUACAAAAUGUGUAUUAUGUCCAGUUUACAGAGAAAACCAAAACUUACUUAGAUAUUUUAAUUUACUCCAUAUCACCUAGUUAAAAAUCACAAAACUAGAAUUGGAUCCCAGUUUCUGUGACCCCAAAAGUCUUCACCCUUCUGACAGACCAAACUGCCUCUUAGCACUGAUGUCACUCUGAGUGCGCUGACCUGCCGGGGUUUUCUAGUUCGUCAGAGCAUCCCAGGGAUGACUAAGCCAGCGUUUGAACCCCCUUUGCACCCAAACGUCAAUACUAUGAUAGCACAGUGAUUUUUACAAAGCCAUAAAUACAGAGGAACAAAGAGAAUAGAAUGGGAAAUCUUUGGAAUACAGGAAAGCAGACAGGCAGGUGGUAACUGCGCUGACAACCAGACAGCCGGGUCUAGGAGGCUGUGGGAGGAGCCGGAAGUCAGCUGACGGCACCGUGGGUGAUUCCUGAGUCUCUGAAAAGGCCGUCUUGAGAGUUUACACCCUUCGCCAGAAGGACGAAGUGCUAGAAUUUUUAGAGUGGCUCAGGGCCUCAACAAGCAGGGAAGAGGUUAAGCUGUAAAU